CAACAUUCCAUCACCAGAAAGUAAAACGUGGAUUGGUAAAAAAGGCUAGCUGAUUAAUUCGUUAAAAUUCUACCUAAAAUUUAUUUUAUUGUUAUUAAAAAUAGUUUGAUUUAAAACUUAAUUCUAUUGUGCUAAAACCGAAUGCUAAAAAGGGUUAGCGCUACAGGAACCUAUCAAACAUAAUAAAUCGCACGACAGAUAGGAAACGUACAAACGAAAAUUUUAAUCUCUCUCUCUCUCUCGCUGUGAAAUAAAGAGGAUUGAAUUUCGGAAAAAGUGUUUCCAUCGUUGCAUUUUCAACACGACCCAUUUUUAAAGAUGGUGACUGGUGAUGAAAAGUGGAUCACGUACGACAACCUAAAGCGAAAAAAGUUGUGGUCGAUGCGCAGUGAGCCGACCCAAAUCAUCGGCAAGCCCGGAUUGACGGCCAGGAAGGUUUUGCUGUGUGUUUGGUGGGAUUGGAAGGGAAUCAUCCACUAUGAGCUACUUAACUACGGCCAGACCCUCAACUCGGUUCUCUACGGUGAGCAGCUUGACCGUUUGAAGCAGGCGAUUGACCAGAAGCGGCCAGAAAUGAUCGAUAGAAAUGGUGUUGUUUUCCACCAGGACAACGCUCGGCCUCACACAUCUUUGAUGAUCCGCCAGAAGCUACGGGAGCUCGGAUGGGAUGUCCUAUUGCACCCACCGUAUAGUCCGGACCUGGCUCCAAGUUUUUAUC